rnacentral:rRNA from 1 species
UCCGUAGGCGGAUUGAUAAGUCAGAGGUGAAAUCCCACAGCUUAACUGUGGAACUGCCUUUGAAACUGUUAGUCUUGAGUUAUAUGGAAGUAGAUACAAUGUGUAGUGUAGCGGUGAAAUGCAUAGAGAUUACACAGAAUACCGAUUGCGAAGGCAGUCUACUACGUAUAUACUGACGCUAAUGGACGAAAGCGUGGGGAGCAAACAGGAUUAGAUACCCUGGUAGUCC